rnacentral:rRNA from 1 species
GACGAACGCUGGCGGCGUGCUUAACACAUGCAAGUCGAACGAAGUGGCGAACGGGUGAUUACUACGUGUGUAACCUGCCCUCCUUUUUGGGAUAAGCCUUGGAAACGGGGUCUAAUACCGAUUAAAGGGGGAUGGGCUCGCGGCCUAUCAGCUUGUUGGUGGGGGGAUGGCCUACCAAGGCGGUGACGGGUAGCCGGCCUGAGAGGGUGACCGGCCACAUUGGGACUGAGAUACGGCCCAGACUCCUACGGGAGGCAGCAGUGGGGGAUAUUGCACAAUGGGCGAAAGCCUGAUGCAGCCAUGCCGCGUGUAUGAAGAAGGCCUUCGGGUUGUAAAGUACUUUCAGCGGGGAGGCGUUACCCGCAGAAGAAGCACCGGCUAACUCCGUGCCAGCAGCCGCGGUAAUUC